rnacentral:tRNA from 2 species
GGGGAGGUCGCCUAGUGGCCAAUGGCAGGAGACUGUAAAUCUCCCGGGUUUUCCCUACGAAGGUUCGAAUCCUUCUCUCCCCA